GUCCUCUGUGCCUUCGUAGGGAAAAGCGACUCUUUCAAUUCAAGUUGCGCCACCACCAGGGUUUUCCCUUCUCCUUCGGCGGGAGGAGGUUUUGCUCCUGGGAUGUGGUGAGGACUAAGCACUGAGCUCGGCACCUUCCACAUGGCAGCGUCCGGAAGCCACCUGCCUGGUCUUCACAGCGAAAGGGAAGAAUUUCAGCUACAACCAGAGAGUCACCCUUCCAUACUUGGCUGGAGAGUAAAGUAGAGGCAACUGGCCAGAAUUAAAGAAGCAGAGACAAAGCAACCCGAAUAUUCAUCAAUGGAUGACUAAGUAAAU
rnacentral:lncRNA from 1 species